ensembl:snRNA U2 U2 spliceosomal RNA
AUUGCUUCUCUGCCUUUUGGCUAAGAUCAAGUGUGGUAGCUGUUCUUAUCAGUUUAAUAUCUGAUAUGUCAUCUAUAUGAGGACUACAUAUUAAAUAGAACAGGGAGACGGAAGAGGGGCUCGCUUCAUCCGCUCCAUGCAUUGGCCUGGUAUUACAGUACCUCCGGGAACGGUGCACCUCCU